GCCAGCGUAGCUUAGUGGUAGAGCAAUGCUUUCGUAAAGCAGAGGUCGUGGGUUCGAAUCCCACCGCUGGCU
rnacentral:tRNA from 1 species